rnacentral:rRNA from 1 species
GCCCCUACGGGGCGCAGCAGUGAGGAAUAUUGGUCAAUGGCCGGAAGGCUGAACCAGCCAAGCCGCGUGAGGGAGGAAGGCGCAGAGCGUCGCAGACCUCUUUUGCCGGGGGACAAAAGGCCGGACUCGUCCGGUCCUGAGGGUACCCGGAGAAAAAGCAUCGGCUAACUCCGUGCCAGCAGCCGCGGUAAUACGGAGGAUGCGAGCGUUAUCCGGAUUCAUUGGGUUUAAAGGGUGCGUAGGCGGACAGUCAAGUCAGCGGUAAAAAUGCGGUGCUCAACGCCGUACAGCCGUUGAAACUGGCA